rnacentral:rRNA from 1 species
UUGACGGGGACUCACACAAGCGGUGGAGCAUGUGCUUAUUCGAUGCAACCGCGAAGAACCUUAUCCUGGGCUUGACAUGUAUGGAUGCCUACCUGGAAACAGGAUCGGUUGCCCUUCGGGGUGAAACUUACACAGGUGCUGCAUGGCUGUCGUCAGCUCGUGUCGUGAGAUGUUGGGUUAAGUCCCGUAACGAGCGAAACCCUUGUCGCUAGUUGCCAGCGGGUAAUGCCGGGGACUCUAGCGAGACUGCCGGUGUCAAACCGGAGGAAGGUGGGGAUGACGUCAAGUCCUCAUGGCCUUUAUGCCCAGGGCUGCAAACGUGCUACAAUGGCCGAGACAAAACGACGCAAGACCGCGAGGUGGAGCUAAUCGGAAAAAAUCGGCCUCAGUUCGGAUUGGAGUCUGCAACUCGACUCCAUGAAGUUGGAAUCGCUAGUAAUCGCGUAUCAGCCACGACGCGGUGAAUGUGUUCCUGAGUCUUGUACACACCGCCCGUCAAGUCAUGGAAGCCGGGAGCGCCCGAAGUCGCCACGAUUCAGUGGUGCCGAAGGUGAGCUCGGUAACUGGGACUAAGUCGUAACAAGGUAACCAAGGGCGAA